ACCAGAAGCAGAGGCUGGCACCAUGUUUGUUAUGCAGCCUGCAGAACCACCAUCGAACUCCAAGUACUUCAGAUUUGGAACUCGGACUGCUUUCCUUGCUCCUCAGCCUGCAGAUGGCCUAUUGUGGGACCUUGUGAUUAUGUAGUGAGACGAGCAUGAGUGGAGCAGGAGACGGCUGUCCCCCACCCACAAGGAAUAUCAGAUGAUGGUUCAGCGAUCAUCACAUUGCCUCUCUGAAAGUGAUAAAUUGGCAGCUGGCACCAGGGAGAGGCUAUUUCCUGAUGGCCCACACCUGUUGCACUAAGAUGUUAAUCGAAUGCAGAUUCCAGGGAGAAACAACUUCCUGGGCAUGUGCGUAAGAGACAAAAUGGCAGGUAUGACCUUCUGGGGACACUCCACCAGAAAAGGGAAGAAAACCUCAGAUGGGCAUGCAUAUAACUUCCUAAACACACUGCUCACACUCUCCUCCCAAGGGUAAGGAGGGCACUGCACAUGCAGGCAGCCCAUCCUAAGGGAAGCAUCCUGGGAAAGGGGUCAGUCUAUAUGGUUCUGGGAUCAAGAUUAAACACCACAUUAGACCUUCAAGUUGCCCACUUGGGUCUCUUCUAUGUGUAUUUUUCUUUCCUUUCUUUUCUGCUCUAAAGCUUUUUUAAAUAAACAUACACAUCCCUCCUCUGAAACUUGCCUUGGUCUCUUUUUCUGCCAUAUGCAACUCAGUCAAAUUAUUUCUUCUGAGGAGGAAAAAAUUGAGGUAGCUGCAUUCCCAUACAGAUUCACCAUCGGUAACUCAGAUACCUUCUACUGGCCAUAUGUUUGGUGUUCUAUUCAAGAAAUAAUUGCUAAAGCCAAUGUCUUAAAGUGUUUUUCUUAUGUUUUUCUUCUAAGAGUUUUACAGUUUCAGGUCUUACACUUAAGUAUUUAAUUAAUUUGAGUUGAUUUUAUGCAUGGUGUAGGAUGUGUGUAAUAUUCAGUUUUUCUAACACUAUUUGUUGAAGAGACUAUUCUUUUUCCACUGUGUAUCCUUAGAAGCAUUGCUGAAGUGUUGUUG
rnacentral:lncRNA from 1 species